rnacentral:misc_RNA from 1 species
AACGCACCUUGCGCUCCUUGGUAUUCCGAGGAGCAUGCCUGUUUGAGUGUCAUUAAAUUAUCAACCUCUUCAACUUUUUUUCAAAGGAGCUGAAGAGGCUUGGAUGUGGGGGCUGGAGGCUUAUCAGAGUCCCCUCCCCUUAAAUACAUUAGCUGGAACCUUUUUGUGAACCUGCAAUGGUGUGAUAAUUAUCUACGCUAUCGCUGGGACGCAAUAUCAAUACAGAGGUUUUGCUUCCAACAGCCCAUUCAAUUGGACACUUGACAAUUUGACCUCAAAUCAGGUAGGACUACCCGCUGAACUUAA